rnacentral:rRNA from 1 species
AAGUCGUAACAAGGUUUCCGUAGGGUGAGUGAUUCCAGAUUCCUUAUUAGAAACCUUUAGCUAACAUAUUCAUAGUGAACCUGCGGAAGGAUCAUUACCGAGUUCUGGGUUCUCUUUUCGAGGCCCGACCUCCCAACCCUUGUGUUUAAACCAAUACCAUGUUGCUUCGGCGGGCCCAUCUUCGCAAGAGGAGGGCCGGACACCUUCACGGGAGUCUGGCUAGUUGCCCGUCGGUAGCCCACAAACCAAAACUCUUGUUUAACCGUGUCGUCUGAGUAACCAAAUUUUUUAAUUAAAAUAAAACUUUCAACAACGGAUCUCUUGGUUCUGGCAUCGAUGAAGAACGCAGCGAAAUGCGAUAAGUAAUGCGAAUUGCAGAAUUUCCGUGAGUCAUCGAAUCUUUGAACGCACAUUGCGCCCUCUGGUAUUCCGGGGGGCAUGCCUGUUCGAGCGUCAUUAUCACCCCUCAAGCCCGGCUUGGUGUUGGAUGAUGGUCAGUUGUAGUGACUGACCCGUCCCAAAGACAAUGACGGCGUCUGUUGGACCCUCGGUGCAAUGAGUUUCUCACGAAGCACGCACCCGAGUUGCAAGGUCUGACGGCCCGGUCCUCCUUAAAUAUUAUUUAACAAGGUUGACCUCGGAUCAGGUAGGAAUACCCGCUGAACUUAA